rnacentral:rRNA from 1 species
UAGGGAAUCUUCCACAAUGGACGAAAGUCUGAUGGAGCAACGCCGCGUGAGUGAAGAAGGGUUUCGGCUCGUAAAACUCUGUUGUUAAGGAAGAACAUAUCUGAGAGUAACUGCUCAGGUAUUGACGGUAUUUAACCAGAAAGCCACGGCUAACUACGUGUCAG